rnacentral:misc_RNA from 1 species
AAGUCGUAACAAGGUAACCGUAGGUGAACCUGCGGUUGGAUCAUUAUGGUAAUAAUGUUUUUGUCUUUCCCUCUCAUUCCCACUCGCUGGGCUUGUGAGGAAAGCAAAAAUUAUUUUACCCCCUAUUGUACGUGUUUCCUGUUUAUUGGCAGCCCUCCACAAGCAGGGGGAGGGUUGGAAAGGGCGUGCCUUUUCCAACGUUUUUUCCUGUUGGGCUGCCAAAACUUUUGUCCAACAACCAAAAGAACUUUAUUGUCUCUGUGUACCUGUAUUUGUGUUUAUGCGCGUCUCUUGUCUCGGCAAGGUGUCCGCACAAACCAAGUUUUUAUAUAAACUGAAUACAACUUUAGACAAUGGAUCUCUUGGCUCUC